rnacentral:tRNA from 1 species
GGGCCCGUCGUCUAGUUGGUUAGGAUAGCCGCCUGACGCGCGGCUGGUCCCCGGUUCGAGUCCGGGCGGGCCCACCA